UUGGCUAGCUGAGAACCAGGCCUGUCUUUGUUCUACCCUUCCACUGCCAACUUUUUUUCUUAGUGGUCAGCUGGGGAACUAGGCCCUUGUUUGUUCUGAUCCAGGGAUUCAGAGUGACUAAGCACUUAUUGUGUGCAUUAGUAGGAUAGGACAUUUUUAUUUGGAUAAUCUCUGAUUCGAACCUGUGAUAGCAUGUUGGCACACCCUGCAGCGAUUGCGCUGACACGGACCUCAUAACCUGUUAGGUCACUGGGGCAAAAGAGCUCUCUCACACCAGCGCCAUGCUGGUAGUAGAGGGGACGAACCAAUCCAAACCCCCCCAACA
rnacentral:sRNA from 1 species